AGUGAACGCUGGCGGUAGGCCUAAUACAUGCAAGUCGAACGGCCGCACAGUAAGAUUUUGCUCUUACGGUUGGCGAGUGGCGGACGGGUGAGGCAUACAUCGGAUUCUACUUUUUCUUGGGUGAUAACGUAGGACAACUUCUGCUACUACCUCAUAUGUCCUACGGGUGAAAGCAGUAGAUCUUCGCACCUUUCGUGUCUGAUUUAGCCGAUGUCGGAUUAGCUAGUUGGCGUGGUAAAGGCCCACCAAGGCGACGAUCCGUAGCUGGUCUGAGAGGAUGAUCGGCCACACUGGAACUGAGACACGGUCCAGACUCCUACGGGAGGCAGCAGUAGGGAAUCUUGCGCAAUGGGCGAAAGCUUGACGGAGCAACGCCGCGUGAGUGAUGAAGGUCUUCGGGUCGUAAAGCUCUGUUGUUAGGGAAGAACAACAGCGGAAUAAAACACCGACGUCCUGACGGUACCCAAUCAGAAAGCAACGGCUAACUACGUG
rnacentral:rRNA from 1 species